CACGUAAGGGGCGAGCGUUGUUCGGAAUCAUUGGGCGUAAAGGGAGCGCAGGCGGUCAAUUAAGUUUGGUGUGAAAGACUACAGCUCAACUGUAGGAACGCGCCGGAUACUGGUUGACUAGAAUCGAUUAGGGGUAACCGGAAUUUCUAGUGUAGGGGUGAAAUCUGUAGAUAUUAGAAAGAACACCGAUGGCGAAGGCAGGUUACUGGAAUAUGAUUGACGCUGAGGCUCGAAAGCGUGGGGAGCGAACAGG
rnacentral:rRNA from 1 species